rnacentral:rRNA from 1 species
UAGAGUUUGAUCCAUGGCUCAGAGCGAACGCUGGCGGCAGGCUUAACACAUGCAAGUCGAACGGGCACUUCGGUGCUAGUGGCAGACGGGUGAGUAACACGUGGGAACGUACCUUUCGGUUCGGAAUAAUACAGGGAAACUUGUACUAAUACCGGAUACGCCCUUCGGGGGAAAGAUUUAUCGCCGAUUGAUCGGCCCGCGUCUGAUUAGCUAGUUGGUGAGGUAAUGGCUCACCAAGGCGACGAUCAGUAGCUGGUCUGAGAGGAUGAUCAGCCACACUGGGACUGAGACACGGCCCAGACUCCUACGGGAGGCAGCAGUGGGGAAUAUUGGACAAUGGGCGCAAGCCUGAUCCAGCCAUGCCGCGUGAGUGAUGAAGGCCUUAGGGUUGUAAAGCUCUUUUGUCCGGGAAGAUAAUGACUGUACC